GAUGCUGCGGUCGGGUCUCCGGCGGAGGGAGGGAGCUGGCGCUUUGGUCCCCCCCACAACCCCCCAACUUUGAGUCCCGCUGGGAAUUGGGGUCCCUCCAGGCAUCAGUUCCCUCCGGACGCCCCGGGAGCGCCCCAGUCCUGGCCUAGGCCUCGGAGCAGCCAGGCGCCCGCGGCCCAGCGCUGACCUCGGGCCCCGCCUCGCCCGGCCCGGCGUCCUCCCGGGUUCGAGGCCGGCUAGGGGAGGGAGUGGGUUGGGAUCGAGGAAAUAGGCUCAUUUUGAUCCUGUCCCCGGAAUAAAACGAAUGAGGUCGAUAGACCUCUUUUCUCCCCCGCUGAUCCCCUGGCCCGCCCGCUCGCCGCGCCCGCGCCGGGGUCCCCGCGCUGAGAAGCCCGGCAGGAGCCGCGAGAGCCUGCGGCUGAGCAGCCGAGAGAAAUCGGCCUGGAAAUGUCCAGCUAGGCCAUCCCAGUAACAAUUCCUAAACGGAAACAAGCGACGGAGAGAGUGCCCUUUGCCCAGUCUGAUUGCCGACGAGCCCUUUCCCGCUAAGAAGAUUAUGUUUUGUAUUUUGGAUGCUGCUCUCUCAGACUGAAUCUCAGGGUAAAGUUGUAUGUGCAGGAUAGCCUAUAAUUUCUGCAUUGCUGAAAAUUAGCAUAUUAACGAUAAUAGUAGCUCUGGAAAGGGGGAGAGAGGACUGUUCCUGCCAUUUGGUAAUUGAAAUUUGAUGGGUAAACUAAUUACACCAUUAUUAACAAAUAAAUUACUUAUUUAAUUCCA